rnacentral:tRNA from 1 species
AAGAAGGUGACAGAGUGGUUAUGUGACCGGCUUGAAACUGGAAUAUGGAGGUUCAAUUCCUCCCCUUCUCG